UACGUAGGAGGCAAACGUUAUCCGGAUUUACUGGGCGUAAAGGGCCCGUAGGCGGCCAACUAAGUCCGACGUGAAAUCCCAAGGCUUAACCUUGGAACUGCGUCGGAUACUGGAUGGCUUGAAUUCGGGAGAGGGAUGCAGAAUUCCGGGUGUAGCGGUGGAAUGCGUAGAGAUCCGGAGGAAGACCGGUGGCGAAGGCGGCCUGCUGGGCAGUUACUGACACUGAGGCGCGAAAGCGUGGGGAGCAAACAGG
rnacentral:rRNA from 1 species